CCCUUAGAUGUCCUGGGCCACACGCGCGUUACACUGAUGAAGCCAGCGAGUAUAUCGCCUUCACCGGAAGGUGCGGGUAAUCUUGUGAAACUUCAUCGUGCUGGGGAUAGACCAUUGCAAUUAUUGGUCUUGAACGAGGAAUUCCUAGUAAGCAUGAGUCAUCAACUCGUGCUGAUUACGUCCCUGCCCUUUGUACACACCGCCCGUCGCUACUACCGAUUGAAUGGUUUAGUGAGAUCUCGGGAUUGGAGACGUUGCGCCGCAAGGCACAUCGUCCUCGAGAACUUGAUCAAACUUGAUCAUUUAGAGGAAGUAAAAGUCGUAACA
rnacentral:rRNA from 1 species